UACGUAGGGGGCUAGCGUUGUCCGGAAUCAUUGGGCGUAAAGCGCGUGUAGGCGGUCCGGUAAGUCCGCUGUGAAAGUCGGGGGCUCAACCCUCGGAUGCCGGUGGAUACUGUCGGGCUUGAGUACGGAAGAGGCGAGUGGAAUUCCUGGUGUAGCGGUGAAAUGCGCAGAUAUCAGGAGGAACACCAAUGGCGAAGGCAGCUCGCUGGGACGGUACUGACACUGAGACGCGAAAGCGUGGGGAGCAAACAGG
rnacentral:rRNA from 1 species